UUUUCAGUUGGGCAAAUGGGUUAGGAUAACCAAGAUCUGACAUGAAGCUUUGGGAUGAAAAAAGGGAAGAGAACUUUGCUAGCUUGUUGCAAAUUUCUGCCGACACCUUUGCAACUUUUAAACUAUUUUCUCUCUGCCUUGUUUCUAGUUAUCAACUUGCAAGAACUCUUCCGUCACAUAUGGAAGACACUGCAACUUCUGAAGAUGAUUCUGAAGACUGAUGCUUGUAGAACUUUCAUACUGUAAGAAACAAAUGGAAUUGCUGCAGAAAUGCUGAACUGGGAAGAACAACAUCAACAGGCAUUUGUUUUUUUUUCCUCUCCUUAGUAAAAACCACAUUGAAUAUUACUGUACUUCUUGAGGAAUUGUUGAAUUAAAAAUCAACUACUGCACAGUGGAACUCAGUGGACUUGAGUUCCACGGUGCACUGGACUUGAACUCCUCAGCAUGUGUGAGGAUUAGAUACAUCGAAAACAACUUCCCUUUUUAAAUGAUGAGGAUGUUGUGCUUUAUUUUGGAAGACAUUGGAUUCUGAAUAUUUAAGGAAGCUCUAUCUCCCUUUGUGUUUUCUUCUUACUGUAGUCAGACUUCUGGCUUUGUCUUACUGAGUUUUGCUCCUGUACUGGCACUAAGUGGUUAUAGGGGGUUUCAGGGGGACGGUGAAGACGCCUGUGUACUUAACCAGGUUUUUUUGGGUGUUCUUAAAUGCCUCUUUUGCUGCAUCCUAUAACUGAUGCUUCCAUUGUUAAUGAAUGAACAGGAGGAUAAGCAAGAUACCAUAGAGACUGUUUGGGUUUAGGCUUAUUUGAAGAUUAUUUUUUAAUCCAAAAAGCAAUAAGAACUUGCAGUUGUCUUUUAAUACUUGGUGAUGGCUUUUUUAUGGCAGUUUGUGAAUCUGAGAUUAUAUUUAAUAUCAAGUGGCUGUUCCAUUAUGGAAUAUUGCAGGUGUCAACUCUAGCAUUUCAAUAUUCCUAGCAGAUAUGCAACUUGAUAAAGACCUAAGGUUGUUUAGUUUAAUCAGACUUGUUUUAGAUCCCACCUUCACUGUUCAAAGCACCGGUUAUCAAUGUGUUUUCUAGUGUUAUAAUUUCUUUAUAACUGAAGACAGAAGAAGUAUGCAUCUCUACCGGUAUUGUCCAUUUCAUUUAAACAUGGAUAUCUACCAGAACUUAUACCUGAAAACAUAGAAAGCUGUAGUCUGUGGUAUAUCUGUACUAACAUUUAUAAGUUCUUACCCAGAUUGUUCUGACCUUUUUGGAUUGAAAUGCUUUCUAUAAAUGGUGGUAUAAUAAAUUCUUAUAAGUGUAUUGGAAUUGUACUUCC
rnacentral:lncRNA from 1 species